rnacentral:rRNA from 1 species
UGAUACAGAGGUGGCGAGCGUUGUCCGGAUUUACUGGGUGUAAAGGGUGCGUAGGCGGAUUUGUAAGUCGAGGGUUAAAGACCGUCGCUUAACGAAGGGAAUGCUCUCGAUACUGCAAGUCUCGAGUGCCGAAGAGGAGGCUGGAAUUUCCGGUGUAGCGGUGGAAUGUGUAGAGAUCGGAAAGAACACCAGUGGCGAAGGCAGGUCUCUGGUCGGUAACUGACGCUGAUGCACGAAAGCGUGGGGAGCAAACAGGAUUAGAUACCCUGGUAGUCCACGCCCUAAACGAUGGAUGCUAGAUGUUGGCCUUCGGGUCAGUGUCGCAGCUAACGCAGUAAGCAUCCCACCUGGGAAAGUACGACCGCAAGGUUG